UGCUGAAUGUGGGGAUAAUUUAUCUUUGUAUUGUAGCUAACGCGUUAAGCACUCCGCCUGGGGACUACGGUCGCAAGACUAAAACUCAAAGGAAUUGACGGGGACCCGCACAAGCGGUGGAGCAUGUGGUUUAAUUCGAUGCUACGCGAAAAACCUUACCACUUUUUGACAUGAAGGUCGUAUCCCUCCUAACAGGGGGAGUCAGUUCGGCUGGACCUUACACAGGUGCUGCAUGGUUGUCGUCAGCUCGUGUCGUGAGAUGUUGGGUUAAGUCCCGCAACGAGCGCAACCCUCAUUCUUAGUUACCAACAGGUAAUGCUGGGCACUCUAAGGAAACUGCCAGUGAUAAACUGGAGGAAGGUGGGGAUGAUGUCAAAUCAGCACGGCCCUUAUAAGGUGGGCUACACACGUGCUACAAUGGCAACUACAAUAGGUUGCGAGACCGCAAGGUUUAGCUAAUCCAUAAAAGUUGUCUCAGUUCGGAUUGUUCUCUGCAACUCGAGAGCAUGAAGUCGGAAUCGCUAGUAAUCGUGGAUCAUCACGCCACGGUGAAUACGUUCUCGGGUCUUGUACACACUGCCCGUCACGCCAUGGGAAUUGGCUUAACUCGAAGCUGGUGUGC
rnacentral:rRNA from 1 species